rnacentral:rRNA from 1 species
UGAGUAACCUGCCCUUGACUCUGGGAUAAGCCUGGGAAACUGGGUCUAAUACCGAAUAUGAUCAUGCUCCUCAUGGGGUGUGGUGGAAAGCUUUUGCGGUGUGGGAUGGGCCCGCGGCCUAUCAGCUUGUUGGUGGGGUAAUGGCCUACCAAGGCGACGACGGGUAGCCGGCCUGAGAGGGCGACCGGCCACACUGGGACUGAGACACGGCCCAGACUCCUACGGGAGCAG